UCCUGCCGGACCUGACUGCUAUCGGAUUGAUACUAAGCCAUGCGAGUCUUUGUAGUAAUACAAGGCAGACGGCUCAGUAACACGUAGUCAACCUACCCUAUGGACAAGAAUAAUCUCGGGAAACUGGGCAUAAUUCUUGAUAGAUCAUAAUGCCUGGAAUGGUUUAUGGUUAAAAUGAUUCGUCGCCAUAGGAUGGGACUGCGGCCUAUCAGCUUGUUGGUGAGGUAAUGGCCCACCAAGGCGAUUACAGGUACGGGCUCUGAGAGGAGAAGCCCGGAGAUGGGUACUGAGACACGGACCCAGGCCCUAUGGGGCGCAGCAGGCGAGAAAACUUUGCAAUGUGCGAAAGCACGACAAGGUUAAUCCGAGUGAUUUCUGCUAAAGAAAUCUUUUGCCAGUCAUAAAACCACUGGUGAAUAAGGGGUGGGCAAGUUCUGGUGUCAGCCGCCGCGGUAAAACCAGCACCUCAAGUGGUCAGGAUGAUUAUUGGGCCUAAAGCAUCCGUAGCCGGCUUUGUAAGUUUUCGGUUAAAUCCAUGUGCUCAACGCAUGGGCUGCCGAAAAUACUGCAUGGCUAGGGAGUGGGAGAGGUAGACGGUACUCAGUAGGAAGGGGUAAAAUCCUUUGAUCUAUUGAUGACCACCUGUGGCGAAGGCGGUCUACCAGAACACGUUCGACGGUGAGGGAUGAAAGCUGGGGGAGCAAACCGGAUUAGAUACCCGGGUAGUCCCAGCUGUAAACGAUGCAGACUCGAUGAUGCAUUGGCAUAAUAGCCAGUGCAGUGUCGCAGGGAAGCCGUUAAGUCUGCCGCCUGGGAAGUAGGUACGCAAGUAUGAAACUUAAAGGAAUUGGCGGGGGAGCACCACAAGGGGUGAAGCCUGCGGUUCAAU
rnacentral:rRNA from 1 species